rnacentral:rRNA from 1 species
AGAACGAACGCUGGCGGCGUGGAUAAGACAUGCAAGUCGAACGCUGACAUUUAGGUAGCAAUAUUUGAAUGUCGGAGUGGCGCAAGGGUGUGUAACACGUGGGCAAUCUGCCGUGAAGACUGGAAUAACUCGCUGAAAGGCGAGCUAAUACCGGAUGUGAACGCAAGUUCAAAGUUGGGGACCGCAAGGCCUGACGCUUUACGAUGAGCCCGCGGCCUAUCAGCUAGUUGGUGAGGUAAUGGCCCACCAAGGCAACGACGGGUA